GCUUUUAAGAGUUCUUGGAUGUGAUAUCUGUCACCCCAUCGAUGUCCAGGGUUGAUUCUGCUGAUCUGGCUGGCUAGGUGGCUGUCCCCUUCCUCCCUCACCGCUCCAUGCGUAUUGCUCCAGAAGUGACCUUUUUAGUCAAAGAGAAUGACCUUCCCCAAUAGAGAAGGAUCAUUUUUUUGAUCAAAGGUAUAUGAGUAGCUGGGCUUCCCUGCUAGAAUCUCAAACAAGGUCUUAAAAUGAGUUCUUAUUGGUUAUCUUGUUCCUUAUGCACUAUUGAAUAAUAGGUGUGCUGGUAGCAAGUAAGUUUUCUUUUAGUUUAGAGAGGACACACCCAAACCUACUGAAGAGGGCUACCCAUUGCCCAGAAAUCCCACCUU
rnacentral:snRNA from 1 species